rnacentral:lncRNA from 1 species
CUCUCUCUCUCUGUAUAUAUAUCGGUUGUCAUUCUACAGCAUUUCUUUUCUUGGUCAAAUUUAUUUAACCUUUUGAAAGCUCUUUCGAUAGUGAAACUCUAAUAUUGGAUUGGUACUUUAUUAAAAGCAACAUUUUCUUAUUGUUGCAAUAGCAUGUCUUGUUUUCCAUUUUAUAAGUUGAUUAUGAAAAGCAAGCUCCAAAUUUUCUAUCCUUGGUUCAGUAUGAAUGGAAUGCAAGAACACAAGUAACUAUGUGGUAUGAUAACACAAAAGUCAAUCAGAGCAAACUUCAUGAUUAUGGUAAAUAUUACAUUUCAAUCCUGCUAUAACAUGUUAUUCUCCCUAUUUUCCCUAAUUCAAAUUAACAUGUUUUGUGCUUCUUAUCAGCAAAUAAGUACUGGAGUGGGCUACUGGAAGGUUACUAUCUCCCAAGAGCUUUGACCUACUUUUAUUACCUAUCAAAAAGCUUGAGAAAAAAUGAGAGCUUCCAUUUGGAAGACUGGAGAAGAGAAUGGAUACUGUUUUCAAACAAAUGGCAAGCUGCUUCAGAGCUUUACCCAGUUAAAGCUGAAGGAAAUGCAGUUGCUAUUUCUAAAGCCUUGUAUGAAAAGUACUUUGAUUGAAACAAUUUCUCAAUGUUCUACCAAAAGCAAACAUGGUAUGACCAUUUCAAUUCUUAGUUUUUUUCCUCUUUCCAAUAUCAAAGAUUAUUGAUGGUCCCUUGCCAGUUGUUUCUGUUUUGCAAUGAGACCCCUUUAUGUACUCUAAUGUUCCGUCUCUGUUUCCAAUAAUCUGUCAUAAUAUCAUUAGUCCAUGUCAAAGAUGAUUCUUUCUAUAAUUUUUGAAUCUUCAUAGCUCUCAAGUAUCUUUCAUCAUGUAAGUAUCUAUGUUCGGCAAAUUGAAAGGAAAACAAUAUACAACACUUGGGUAUUUCCUUUGAACUACCUCUACAAAAAUUUGAAUGUGAAAAAAGAAUUUAACCCAAAAAAGAAAAACUUGAGGAAAUGAUAUGGCUGCAAAUUGCACUAUCAUUUAUACAUUCAGAUUUCGAGUAUUUUCAAUUCUUAUACCAGCUCUUUCAGUAGCGGGUCGCCUGCAGCCAUAAGCCUCAUAAGCUCAGCAAAUUCCACUUCAUUGGAAACCCGCCAUGGAUGAACAGCAGGAACUUCAGCAGCAUACAAGUUUGUAACAUUACUCAACAGUUCCUCUGCCGGUAUCUUCUUAUAAACCAUUCUGCUGAAAAUGUCGUCGAAAUUUAGGGGUGAAUCCAUUGCCAUGAAGAACAUUGCCACAGCUACUCUGUAAUCAAUCUUGUAGUUACCAACAAGAGCUACAAGAUCCGUGAAGUCUCCCACAAACAUCCGAGGUACGUAAAACACUUCACUGUUGCAAAUUGUGAGUCCUUGCUCGGUUGGGUUACUUUCCUUAUAGUUGACUUGAAAAUGAACAGGCAUUGUGCUCACUACCUUCUUCACCCAGUCUGCUUGUUUAGCAAACAAGACAGAAUCAUCACUGACUCUGGUCCAAGAUUGAGGGACCUGUGAGAAAGAGAAACAAUUAUAGAACUCUUCAACUCUUCUACAAAGCAAGAGAGAUACAACUGAGACCUGCAUCAUACCUUGUAAGUGAUCCAAAGUUUAUCUUUAUCUGCUUGCAGUAAAUUCCAAUAGUUGAGAAUGGUGUUAUCUUGGAGGAACAAGAAUCCUUCUGCAUUAGGAAAUCUUUCAAAUACCAUGGGCAGGUACCUAUAAAAAGAGAAUUAAUUUGUUGAAUUUAUCAUUCAUGAACUUUUCUAAAUAAAUAUUUAGUCAUUCAUUUUAAUUAAGAAUCCUUUCUUUUUAAUCUGUCAUCAAACUAAACCUGACUAAAAAAGAGUAUACAGACAUUAAACAUAUUGUAGGCAAAAUGACCAAUACCCCGUUUUCCCAUUAUUUGAAUCUAUUUGGUGUAUAAACAUCAUAUCACUAUUUUUUUAUGUAUUUAUAUCAGUUUUUAAAUAGAUUCUUGCAACUUUUAUUUAUCUUAUUUUGUAAUUUGUGUUAUCAAAAAUAAUUCUACUAACUUACCACAUAUAUUAAAUAGUUUCUCUUAAAAGUGGUACUCUACAUCUAUACUUCGACUAAAUAAAUAUAAUAGUUUGUAACUAAAUUACAAAAGAAAAGGCUCUUGUACAUGAACUUAAAAUUCCUUUUGCAAAACACCAUUAGAUUAACAUUUAGAGCUAUAUGUUUUAGAGCCUUGUAUGAAAAGUAAUUUGAUUGAAACAAUUAUUUAAAAAUCAAAAUGAACAACUUUUUAUUUAAAAGAAUCAAAAUGAAUAAACUGUUACGAAUUGUAGUUACAAAGAAUAAAUUAUAAAUUGUUACAAUUUUGAAAAUGAAGGGACGAAAUUGUUUUUUAGGCAUUGGGACCAAAUUCUUAUUAGACUAAAUUUCUAUUUGGGUUAUUUUUUAAAUAAAAUAAAAUAAACCAAAACAUUUAUAAAAUAGGACAAAAAAAAUUUAGUUAGAUACCGCAAUAGAUUAAAAUAGACUAUUAUUUGUAUCAUAAUAAAUACAUAUAUUAGUCUAUUUUGGUCUUUUUAGGUUUUUGUUAUAUUUUUGCUAUAUUUAUAAGUAAUUUUACUAAUUUUUUAUUUAAAAUAAAUUUUCUAGUUAUUUUAUCAGAAAUGAUAAAAAUUGGAAACUACUUACUUGUAUAUGAACUCCAAAGAAAUUAAGAAAUCACUAAAAAAAAUUAAAUGAAGAAGAAUUUUCCACAUAAUUUUUCGUGUUGGAAAUUACUUACUUGUAUAUAAACUCCAAAGAAGCUUCCUCCACUCCCAAAUCUUCCCUGCCAUGUUCUGCCACAACCACCACAGUUUUGAAAAUCCUUCCAUAAAGCAAUUUCCAUUUCAUGGCAGUUCUCUCCACAUCUCCAUUUUCAACAAACAAAACCAUCACCACAUUACCAAAUUUCUUCCUCCAUCUAAUCAACUUCCCUAUCUCAAAGUUCACAGUCUCAGAUUCUUCCACCCCAAGAUGAAAACCAGGCAAUUUUUUAGGAACAAAACUCCUUCCAUCACCAAUCCUUCUUUUCCUCUGUUUCUUCAUUUCAAAUCCCUUCAUUCUUGGUUGAAUAUACCCAACAGAAAUCAAAUCUUGAAGCCAAGCUCCAAUCAGUUUCACAUCGUUCUCCUUCCAAAACCCUUCCUCUUCCAUUGAAUUACUCAAUUCCAUUACCUUCUCAAAGAACGUGGCUUUGUUUGAUGUCCAUGAACUCAAGAACUUCACCAAUCUCCCUACAUUCACAUGCAAGUCUUUCUCUUCUGAAAAUGGAUAUCCUUCAAUGUCAUCAUAUCUAAACAUUGUCGGUGGAUAAACCGCUACGAAACCUCCUAAUUCCCAUAAAAGUCUUUGUGCCCAAUAACCCCUCAAUAUAUCACAAGCCAUUGUACUAACAGAAACAGGAAGCAUAAGAGCCCAUAAUGCUGAAUUAUGAAACAAAGUAUUGAAAGAGUUUAAUGGUACCAUCACCCCGUGAGGUAUGGCGACUUUCGGUGCGUGGUCGUCGAAUCUUAUGUCGAAUGCCUGGGAACUUGUCUUUCGAGUGAAGUAAAACACCGAAUCUACAUCUGGUAAACCAUUGGAUAUGCCUUGUUGAAUGAACUGCAUUCCUCCAAAUACUUGGCUGUAAUGUUCUUCAUACAAAACAUCUCCUACAUUCUCCAAUGGCAGCCCUCUAGGCCAAACCGAUCGCUGUCCGAAAUGAAUAUAUGGAUUCACGACGGUUUUAUUCGGGUUCUCAAAAUCAAACUCCAAGAUUCUCUCCUGCAGUGUGUCUACAUUGGACAAUUUCAAAUCAAAAUGCUUCCCAAGAUCCCCAUCAAUCACUUCACCCCGAUCAUCUGCAUCGAAUAUCAUUUUCGCGCCAUGUUGGAUAGCGAAAAGAUAACCAACAGUCUUUCUAGCAUAAGAAUCAUAAGAAAGAAAAUCCACAACUCUAAAUCCUAAGCUAGAUUGUUCCUCUAGAGACAGGUAUAUAACUCCCUUAAGACUCCAAUCCGAUGGAGUUCUAGAAUUCCCCACAGCUAGUACCUGCCAUCCUCUGGUUUUCGCAAGCUUUCGAAGCGAAUCAGAAGGAUAACUCGAAACAGAAACAACAAUCCACCGAUCAGAGCUAAAGGAAGCGUAACUUGAGGAUUUAUCGACAAGGGGAUGAAUCGAAUCGAAGUUGAUUAUGGGCAAAUGGGUGAGUUGAGAGGGUUUAGGGCGAGAGUUGAAGCAGAGAAAUGCAGCAGAAUCGGGAGCUCCUCGGAGGAAGAAGAAGGAAGCGAUUGUGAGGGUAAGGAAGAAAAGGGUAGCGAGUUUGAAGAGAUUGAGAGAGACCCAGUUGGAGAAAUCGAAGGGUUUGGAUUCAGGGAAGGGAUUAGCGAGUGGGAUUUGAUGGGGUUUUGGGUUUUGACGAUCUUGAACCAACAUGGUAAGUACUAAAGUACUCAGGUUUUGAGCUCUGUGGAGUGAGUUUUGAACUCAGAGAGCCAAAAUAGAAAGCUCAAAAUGACUGAAAUGGAGAAGAAAACAAAAACAUAGGGAGUGAUCUUUGUGCGUUUCUUUCUUUCAUCUCAGAGCUCCAGCCGACAGUGGCCAACUGAUAAUGCAGACAGAAUUGGAUCAUUGAUGGGUUCUUUUUCUUUUUUUAAUUAAAAAGAAAUUAGUUUAUUUGAAAGGAACUGAAAAUGAAACAGAUGAAAGAUGAGGAUGAAGGAUGUUGAGGGGCAAAUGGAAAUAAUUGAAAAAAGUGAGUGAGGAUUUGCGAUUUGGACAGCCGCCCUUACCGACAGAGAGAGAAACUCUCGUGCUCUUUUUUUACUCAUCAUCUCAUUUCCUUUCCUUUCAUCCACACACUUCACAUACUUCAACUUCCUACUAUUAAAUUCAUAUAUAAUAUAUAAUUGUAAAGCCAACCAGGCCAUUCUUACCACCUACGACAACUAUUUAGUCUCAACUUUAUUUGAUUUGGUUUAUCAAAUUACUUAGACACCUUUUCAGGGAAUAUCAAGGUAGGAAGAUCAUCAUGGACUUGAUGACAAAUGACGUAACAUCCCAGUUUAAAGGGUUAAAAGAAUAUUUGGAAAAGACUUAAAAUAAUUGAAAAUCAUUAUCUAUACUAACAAAAUGCAAUUUUUUUUUUUCAACAACUCAAUCCUAAGGACUCCAAAGUGCAAUAUUUUCUUUCAACAACUUAAUUAUAAGUUAGUAUAAGUAUACAAGCAUGUGAGUUAAAACAAAGCAUCCUAAAAAGUUUUAUAUUAAGCCCUUAAAUGCCAAAGCAUCCUAAAAAGUUCUAUAUUCUAUAUUAAGCCGUUAAAUGCCAAAUCAAUCUAGGUAUGAGAUAUUACGAAUUAAUUAACCAUUUUACAUUUUGUGAGAUGCACCUUGUGUAACAAGUAAUGGUAUAAUACAACUUAUUAUGAAAGAGUUAAAUACAAAUAUGAUUUAGGACACAUGAUGUGACUAGUCUAUACAGCUUAACUAAUCUAUCCUAACCCUUAUACUUUUAUUCGGUUGGAGUCGACCCAAAUACGACCCCAUAGAAAUGGUUUAGAAUGAAAAUAAUGAAACAAAAGUUAAGUCAAGUAAUGAAACAAUAAGUAAUGUUGUUGAUUGGAGGGAGUAUCAAAAGUGUAAACACCGUUAAAAAGUGAUAGAUCAACUUCUUUCUUGUAUUAAAAGAUCAGUAACAAUACAAUUAGAAUAUCCAAUAUAUUUCCCCCCACCAAUUCCUCUAAGAACCUUUUUCAUCAACAAAUUAAUUUCUAGAACUAAAGUCCCAGAUUAAUAGUGAAUCCUUCCAACGAUUAGACAAAGUGGGCUGACCUUGAUUUCUAUGAACAUCUUCAUCUCUUUUAACUUUAUUUUUAUUUUUUUUACUCUAUCUCCCUGCUUCCUGCUUCCUGCUUCCGUUUACUUUCAUGCGUUCUUCUUCGUCGAUGUUGUCGGAUCUCGAAUCGAGUUCGGAAUCAAAUUCAUCUUCUCAUCAUCCCUUCCACCCACUCCCACUUGGCUUUCUUCAUCAUCUUUCAAAUUAGAUCUAUGUUCAUCAGCAUGUCGUCCAUGUAGUCAUAAAAUCGCUUCUUGGAUACCGAGCUUGCCGUUAAGGUACAAUUGUGUUGGAAGAUCACAUUUGUGAAGGCCUGAGACAGCCUCUGUUUGUGACAAAGACAAUGAUCCUGUUAGAGCUAAUAAGGGUUCUAACAAGAAUGAUUGGCCAUCACUUUUUCUCUCCUUAUCUUUCCUCAUUUCUUCCAACAAAGCAUUGCUUGUGUCUAUGCCUGUUUAGAUUGGUCAAUAAAAGAGAUUAUCAUCCGGAGAACAUAUGCUAGAAACAUGUAAUAAAGUUUCCAAUAAAAACAAAUUAAACAAGUUAAUUAGUAGGUGUUUCACAAACCUGCAAGAUAUCCACCAUGUACAUAGCCAUUAAAUCUUUCGCUUGUGUGUUCUCCAGUGAAGUAGAUGCGUCCAAUGGGUUCCUGGAAACGACACACCCAUAAAGGUUAGAUAUUUGACCUAACGUAGAAUUUGUGUUUCUAGUAUAAUUCAGACCUAGUUGACACAAGAGGUUAUGGUUCAUUUGAAUUUACUUACUAAGUUCUUAAAAACACUUUUUUCACACACCCGAGGAUUUAAACUUACUAACAAAGUAAAACUAACAAGUUUUACUACUCUAAACACACUACAUAAUUAAUUUGUCACGUAUUCAAGUUCGGUCCAUAUAUGCUUAUUUAAGGAAAUAUGUUAGUUGUGUGUGCUUGAAACAGUUUGGUGGUGGAAGCGGCUCUAUUCACAGGCUUCUACAUCAACAGCAAGUAUUUCUACUUUCGAAGUGGUUAGAGAGAUCAAUCAAUCAAUCAUGCAGUGAGUUACAAGUUAAAACUUGCACAUAGUGAAAUAGGCAAUGAACCUUAAUGUUUUGAACAACUUGGCAAUCGGAGAUGAUGGGGUAGUUACUGUAGCUACCACGUUGAAACCUGUUACUCCACCAGCGAGGAACGAGUAUGUCAGUAGCAUCAGGGAUAUCUGGUCCAAACAUAUCCCUAAGCACUUCCAUGGAUUCUUUCAUUGUCUCUUCAUCAGAUUGAGCUUCGACUCUUUUCGAUUCUCCAUUUGUAACGGUCACCACCAGGAUAUUGGACCCAGGAUAGGCGUUCUCCAUGUUCUGAUGUUAUCAUAAGAUAGUCAGUUUCACAGUAGUUUGAUUAUUAAUCCAUAGCAUGUCAUAGUAGAAUGAUCGAGUAGCAAAUGCCAUAACAUUGUCAGACUGGAGUCAUGGAAAUACACAAUACGUACUCCGCCAAUCAAACAAAUUGAUAUCCUUAUAUUAUUAUAGUUCCAUCAUUCAAGAUUUAGUGUUCGUGGACAGAUAUUGACAGCUGCGGUAGCUGACAACUGUAUCAACAAUAAAAUGGAAAAGAAUUAAGCAUAAAAGAGACUGCCAAAAUUUUAUCUUCGAGAAACUUAAGCACCGUAAAAAAUCCUGCAUCCUAGUACAGGUCGAUAAAGUCGAAUAAUGAAGGUGUUCUCAAUCACCCAUUAAAACAAGAUAAUCAUAAUAAUCAAUUGUUCAAGAAUUACUGGUAUUGAAUCAUCUACAAUAGAGAUAGUAAUAAAUGCCUUUAUCUGACGAGUUAAUCUUGAAUUGAGCUUAUUAUAGCUCUUAAUAUAAAAUAAUAUGAUAUAAAUUAUAUUAUCCCAUGUUGUAUUUUAAUGUGUAGAUUUGUGAUUUGAGAAAAGUAUUUUAAAAUUUUGAAUCCACAUACUAAAUAUAGAUAGUUGACAACUCAAAACUAAAUCAAUCUAACUAGAGGGUCCAACGCGAUGACAUCCGUAUUCUGAAAACCAAUGCUACAAAACAAAUAUACAAGAUGAUAUGCAAUCCAAUGAUUAAGAAUUAAAAAAAUACGAGAGUUGAUAGGUUGCAUGUGACCCACGUGCACCUGAUGCACGGCUCAUUAUGAAAGUACUUCCAACCGUAUAAUAAGUUAAUAAUGAUACGAGUAAACUAAUAUAAAAAAAACCAAACAUAUUAAAAAAUAUCGAUGCAGAGCACAUAGGUCACACGGCUACUACUAGUUCAACCUAAGACCUGGCUGGCUAUCCCCGUGGGCUAAUAUUUGCAAGCAUCCAAUUUUUCUAGCUAAGAAGACUUUGUUUAUUCACUUUCUUUUUUGGAUAAGUAGUGGCGAUGAGAUAAGUGUUAGCUGGCAACAACAACGAGAUUUAGCAAAUAUAUAUAUUUAACGAACCUGCCAAAACGUGUAAUAGCCCCUUCUUUCAUGGGCGUAAAUAAAGAAUUCUUUUCCGGGUCCGCACGGCCAGAACUUAUAUGGGAACUUGAGGAAAAUCUUUGUAUACACCAUCACGUCACAUUUCUCUAUAGCCUCUGUUUUCCACCUCUGUUUCAUUAGAUUUUAAACCAUCAUGUUUAGUUAAUAAUACCAAACCCCACAGCAACAUAGAAAUAAAACAUUACAAGGAGGAUCAGCACACAGAAACAGAGGGGCCAAUGGUUCAGUCACAAGUGGGUAAUUAACCAAGAAAUGUUUAAGUAUAUGAUAAAGACUUGUGGGUUUAAUGCAUAUGCGCAUACUGUACUCUAUAGAAAAAGAGGUAAAAGUGUAAAUAAAAAACCGAUCACGUGUAGAUUAGACACACACGCACAGAGGAUAUGAGUCACAAAAUGCAAAACUGGGGAGAUGAUGCAUGGGAGUCGCACAUAGACACAUUGGGAAUCCGAUUCUUACGUCAUGAGUCAGUAGGAGGCCUUGCCAUUCCAUAAAUUCUGACCCACUAAAUGAAAAUUAAAUAAUGGACCAGGCCAUUUAGAGAUGUAUAUCAAGAGAAGUCAAGUCAGAACGAAAAUCCCACCACCUUACAGGACGGACAGAGCCCGAGAGAUAUUUAUUGUGUUAUGAAUAUUGAAAGGUCAAGAUUCUCCCCCACCCAUCUUAGGUCUCUCAAUAGAGGUUCACAAAUCAAGAGGCAACAGAUACGACACGUCGUCAUAAAUUAUAGGGGGCAUUCUUGGUCUUGGUGGGGGCGAAAGUCAGAGAGUGAUUAGUAAGUAGUAUAGUCACAAACAACAUGGAAUAAAUAAAAGAAGAAAACGUACGGGUAAAGGUGGAGUGAAAGAAAUGAGGUCGCUUUGGAGUACACCAAUGCUAACGGACAAAACCACAUAAUUGGCUUCAUAGAUACAUCCAUCCUCCGUUGUUACAGUAACCCCGUUUCUCGAGUGUUGUAUUUCCCGAACAACCUGCAUAAAAUGAUGCAUAAAAUUUGUCACGAAGAACAGAAACAGAUAAAAAUUUUGUCACAGCAGUCAACUCCCACCCAAAACCAGAACCAAUUUUUUUAUUUGGGAAAGAUUACGGGGAAUCUUUGCUCAUUUAAUGACUCAUCACAACCCAUUUAUGGCUGCUAUCCAAAAAUCACAGUGAUUACUAGUGAAGCAGGACGAUGAUACAGGGGAAGCUUCCCACAUUUACUGCAAUUCGCAUCAGAUUCGUUGGGCAAUAAAGGGAACCAAAACAACAGCCCCAUUAAAUGUAGAUAUUGACUAGACUCCCCACUUUCAUGUUUUUAUUUGAGUUGAUUUGACAUCUCACCCCAUGGGUUAUUGUUUAUGGUCAUAAAAACCACUGUGCAACCAAAUGCAAAUUGAUAUUCAGUGACCCUACUAAUUUAAUAAUGGUAAAAAUGUUUUCAAAACGUUGCAUAUUGUCAUUACAAUUCUGUCAAAUAUUAUACAAGCAAGGACAUUGCUGGCAAGUCAAAGUUUUGCUAUUCAAGUAGGGGGAACGCUAUCAAAAAUUACUGCUCAUUGUUGGGUGUAGGGGUAAAUAAAAAAUUAUAGAACCCCAAUUAACAGAAGCAUUCAACGGAUGGAUUCUCCAGUUUCGGAAACUACUUCACAGUUGAAGAACAAUUAGAGAAGAAAAAAGAGAAAGGGGGGAAGGGCAAAGUUUUUUAGUGUCAAUUUCAUUGGUAAAGAAACCAAAAUUAGAACAAAUCCUAUUCAAAUUAUCUGUAGCAGGUCUAUUCAGCGUUGGGAUUCAAAUGAUGUCUACAGGAAAUCAUCUAGCGACAAACUAUGAAAGCGAUAUCGUGAUCAUAUGACACGGAUGGAUGCCACUAAUUUCAACCAAUAUCUUAAAUAAAUAUUUAAGCAGCCAAAAUAAAUAUAUGGUAAAAGCUCACAAAUCCCAAGGCCGAUUUUUCUCAUUAGCCAGGUAUCCAAUGCAGAUCAUAAAGUUUCUUUCAGCCGCUAAAAGAGUUAAAGCAAAAGCGAAAUUAUCAAGUUGACCACCACCUACACUAACACACAGCUUCUAAUAUAAACUGGCAAAUGACAAUAGUAAUAAUAUAAUAUGAAUUGGAAAUUGCUUUCAGAAACGUCAUUAUCUGCAAACUCCCAAAAGUGGGUCAAUCAUCAAUCUCAACGACAAAUAAGAAUAGCACAUGCAAACAAAAGAGAUACCCAGGGAUUUCUAUCCUAUACUUUUUCUGUUUCUUUUACUGUAUUUUUAUCAAAGCCCAUAUCCGUCCUUUUGUUUCAUCAUAUGAUUGGGUAAUCAACAACAGAACAGACAAAAUUUUCAUUUAAAAACAUAUAAUUAGCUAAAAAGUCAAUAUUUAAAAAGGAAAACAAAUAUAUUUUCUCUUUUUUUCUUCUCACCUUGUUGAGUUUGAGACGACUGUCCAAGAUUUUUCCUUCUGAGGUAAAAAGAAAGUCUUCAGCCAUUUUGUAUAGCAAACACUCAUACCCUCUUUCAUCUGCAACCAAAAAUUCCCUCUCUCCAAAAUCCAAAUACGUCGAUAUAGGCUCAACCUCUUCAAAAAAGAAAAAAACCCAGUUCCCAAUUCAAUACUCACAUACAGUAUCAGAAUAAGAAAAAAGAACAAGAAUCGGACAGCAAUAUGACCUGGCAUCUCAAAAUCAUGGAGUAUAAAGUCGAUAGCGAGUUCCAUGGGAGUCUUUGGCGUACUGUAAACAAAAGAAAGAAGAGAUAACAUAAAAAUCUGCUUAGAGAAUGUUAAUUAACUUAAUGCCAUAUAUAAUUCUUCUUUUUUAGAUGCUCAUGAAACGAACAAUAGACUUUUUGAAAAAUAUUUACCAAAGUGGCUCUGAUACAAUGGAUAAAUCAUCCGCAUCCUCCCCUUGGUUCCUCAGCUUCUGAAUCGCCGAGUCCACCGCCUUCUUGUACGAGUCGGCCGCAACUCCACUCGGAAAAAUUUUCCCACUGCAAACUCAUUGAUUCAAGAACCUAGACUCACUUCAAAUUGACCGAGAAAAGAAAAGGCGAAACAAAAAAAACGAAGGAAAAAAUGGACAAACAAAGGUUCAAAUUCCAUCUCUAAACCAUCAAUACAUUGUUCAAUACCACCAAAAAACAAUGUCUCGACUCUCGAGCAAAAAUAGCGGAGGAUUAAAAGAAACCAUCCGAAACAUAAAAGAGAUUGGGCGAAACACGAAAAUAACAUCAAUCAAGAUCAGGAAUCCAAACCUUCGAUCAUAGAUAUUAUAACGAGCAUUGCUGUAAUCAGAGAAGCAAGUACGGAGACUAGAUUUGAGAGCAAGUUCCCAAACCGGAUUCGGCUCUUUACCACCGACUCCAACAAUCCACCCCGCUCCAAGUUCCACCGAUACACCUCCAAAAUUCUCCUUACAAACUCUUCCUCCAAUACGGUCAGAAGCCUCCAAAAUCACAAAGUCAUCUACUCCAUUGUCCACCAAAACCUUCGCCGCCGACAAACCUUCCAAUCAACAAAUCAACUAAAUCAAAUCAAAGAAAAAAAAAAAAAAAGUACAAUAAAGCGAGAGAGUCGGAAACGGAAUGAAUCAGUAACAGACAAAGGUAUAAACAAACUAUAAGAAGAGUCAUAACUCACCGGAAACACCGGCGCCGAUAACGAUGACGGAGGAACGAGAAGGAGAAUCCAUUAGGGGAGGAAUUGAAAAAAAGAGAGAAAAGGAAAAUAGAAGAAGGUAUUGAAAAAAUGUUAACGAGAAAUAUUGAAGAAAUAUAGCGGGAGUCGGUUUAUAUAGUUUUUUUCAGGACUCCCCUCUCUGAGUUGGAGAUUUAUUCCCAAUUCUAUACUCCAUUAUUUAACGUUAAAUAUAGAUUAAAUUUUCGUUUAACCUAAUAAUUAUCUUAAAAGAUUCUGUUUAAUCAAUACUUUUAAAUAGUUUACAAAUUUUAUGAUUUAUAAAUAUUAUAACAAUUUUUUUAAAAUCAAAAUCUAAUUUCGAAAUAUAUUACAAAACAAUAAAACAUGAAAUAGUAAAAUCCAUUAUUUUUAGAUUUGCUAGAAAUACAAAAAUUUGAAAAAGAAAAAAGGAAGAUUUCAAGGUCAUUUUCUUUUAACCCACUAGACUAUGAAUUGACAUCUUACGCGGAAUUAGGAAGGGUAAGGGUAUUUCUGUCAUUCCAUAAUUUUUUCUUUUAUUUUUUAUUUGAACAAAUAAAAGAUAGAAUUCAUUUAUUUUAGGCCACAGAAAAUGAAAUAAAAUUUUGUAUUGAUUUAUUAAAAAACAAAUCCUAUAAUUAUUAUUUAAUCACUUCUCAAAUGUUCUUUCUUUUCUUUGUUUUCGUGAAAUUUUUCAAAGAUAGUCAAUUAAUUUGUAGCAAAAUUGUAACCCAACUUGCCUACAUAAUUAAUAGUUAAGUAUUAAGGGAGAAAGAAAACAAGGGUUUGUUUUUAUGAUAAAUGUCACUUUAAAUUUUAUGUGGUUCAAGAAUUCCUAUAUUUUUUUGACACUUUUUUAAAAAAGAAAAAAAAAAAAGAGACGUCCAAAUAAAAUGUUAUACUUUAAUAUUAUUCACAUCAUUUAUAUAUCAAUUCAAUUUGCUACAAACAUAUUAUACACUUCAAAGUUUACUUUAAUAAAACUAAAAAAAAAACGUCUAAAUAUUGUAGUUUAAAUUAUUCAAAGUAAAAAAAUGUUAAUAGUUUGGUUCGAGUCUUCCUUAUUUUUAUUGAACUACAUAAAACAUUGUUUUAUAGAAAGUGAUAUUUGUUAAUUGUUGCUACUUGUUUAAGGUCAUUAUUCAAAUUAUUUAAGUGUGAGGGGCAAUAUCGGAAAUUGAACAAGUCAAAUAACAUAUAAUAAAUUUAUAAACAUUAGUUUAAGAGAAAGUAAUAUUUUUAUAAUGUCAAUCAAUGGAGAAAAAAUGAUGGUUGUACUUGUACUAUUGUACCCUGCAUUCCUCCUUUUCUAUAUGCCAAACAAGUUGAAAUAUAUAUAUAUAUAUAUAUAUAUAUAUAUAUAUAGACUUUUUUUUUUUCUUUUCAUAUUGAUUGAAUUAUUAAAAAAGUGUGCAUUAUAUUUCUUAAAUAGUUGUGAGUAGUUGCAUGAUAUGCAUGAUAAAUGCAUGUAGGUUUUGUUUGUACUCUUUGUUUUAUUGAAACAAUUUAUAUGUAUGUAUGUAUACACGCUAUAAGUUUAGUUAAAAGGAUUUCGUUUUUAAAUUAUAUAUUAAUAUCUAUCUCUUAAGCAAGUAAACAUUAUUGUUCAAUCGACACAAAUUUUGUAUUUCAAUUUUUAGGUCAGCGGUUCGAUUUCUCAACCUAUAUCAAACAUCAAAUAAUGUUUGAAUCACUCGCUCCAAAUAAUAAUUGAAUUGUCGUACAAAAUUUUUGUAAGGAAUAUUAAUUAAAAUGUAUACUAUAGCCUUUUUGUUGUUGGUAAUAAAUAAUAUAUAGUAUAGUGAAUUGAUGGAUGGCAUGGGGACGUGAAAUAUGGGAAGGAAAUUAAGUAGAAGCAAUUUAUUGUCGCAUUGUAUGAUAAUUAUAUUGAAUAAAAACAAGUAUUGAAUUAGAGUGUUAAUUAAUCCUAAUGAGAACAAGGUUAAUCCGACGUGUAAGGAUUAGCACCCAUGAUUAAGGGAUAAUUAAAUAACACUAAGCAUUGUAAAAUGGGGGGUUUUGUCAUAAAAUAAAGUACUAAAAGGUUAAAAUAUAAUUUUAGGUAUUAGGGCUUCACCUUUUACCAUAUUGUUUUUAAAUUAUUGUUUUGAGGAAAACCUUUUUUAGAUUAAAAAAGAAAAAGAAAAAGGUUGAAAAGUACACCCAAAAAAAUAUGUAUGCAUAUUGAGUUACUCGAGACUUUGGCUUUGAUAUAGAGGUUUGAAAGUUCAGAUUGAUCUUUUAUUGUAGAUCUCUCUUUCGUGUUUUUGUAGAAUAUAAUAAUCUGAUUGUGCUUUCCUUAUUUAUUUUGUUCAACAUAAGGCUUUUGUUUUGUCUGAAUUAGUGGGUUUUGUUGUUGAGAUCGGAAGAUAAGUCUAGUCGAUCCAUGUUGUCUCUUUUGCUUGACAUUCGUGUAAUAAAAAUGGUGCAUCGCUUAGUCCAUGUUGCGAUUGGGUUGAAUGAAUCGACUCUAAAAAGAAAAGAAAAAUGUUAUAUUUAAAAUUAUCAAAUUUGAAAGAGUUAUUGCCUUCAUCAUGAAUGUUCAAAAUAUUUUAAAGAAAAUGGCAGAAAAAUCUGUGGUAUAUUGAAUAUGUUUUUCUUUUUCCCACUUAUUGUCAAUAAUGGAAUAUAUAUUUUGACUCUAUUAUUAUUUUUUUUUCUCAGACUACAUUGAAAAAUGUAAAUAAUAAUAUUGGAAGAAUAAGUUCAAACUUUACACUACUUAACAGUGGACCCUACCAUAUGCAACUUUCUUAAAUAAUUAAGGGCAUUUUUGGUAUUCCCUCUCUUCUCAAUUUGUUAUACUAUUAUACUAUUUGGAGUUUGUUAUCUUAAAAUUAAAUAAAGUCUUGAGAGCUUAGAUGUCAUAUAGGUAAGUGAGAGUCUCUCUUUAAAAAAAUGUUUUCUAACAAACUAAUUUUUAUUUAAAAUAAUUUAUUUUUUAAAUUAGACACUUGAGUACUCUUUUUCUUUUAAAUUUAUUGACAUGGAUGGAACCAUUGUUUUUAUAAGAUUAGAUAGAGACUGUGAAAUGGGGAAAUGGGGAAAUGGAGAAAGGAAGGUUUUGGUGUAACGCAACGGUGAGGUCAACGUCAGAAGAUGUAAGCAUUGAAUGGGAGUGGGACCCAAAGGAUCAAAGAGAGUGAGAAGAAAAAUUAAGAAAAAAGGGGACCCGCAGCGCACGUGUCGAAGUAGAAGCCACACGUGUGGGGGGAAGAAAGGAGGGGUAAUGUGUGUCUGUGACGGUGCUCAUUUUGACAGCUAGGUAACCGGCGGCCGAUUGUUGGAAAGGAAAAAGGAACAGGCAAAGGUCCACGUUGCCCCUGUUGUUUCUGCUUCCAAACACUCUGUCCCGCUAAACUAUCCCUUCUGUUUUCCCACCUCAUCUUUUUCUAUUUUCCUUUUUUUCCAUUUUUGUAUCUUAUGCCUUUAAACGACUUUUAUUUUAUUUUUUUAAUUUCUUUGUUAUUUAACUUUUCUUUUCCUUUUCAUUUUUUCACUAAAUAUAAACUAUCUUUUUUUUUCUCAAAUAUAAAACAUCCUAACAAAAUCGUUCGAAUAUUAGAUAAUCAAAUCUAAAUAUGUACAUAAACACUCAAAUCUAAUACAAAAGUUCUUUAAAUUUGAAUGGCCAAAUUUAGAUUAUGUAUAAAAAAAAGUCUUUAUACAAAAUUUAAACCUAUCAAAUCUAAAAAAUGGUUUAUCAAAUUUAUUACCUAAGCGUUGUAGAUAUUUUUUGUAUUUUUUAUAGGUACGUGUAUAAAAAUUAAUUUAAUAUAAUAUGUCAAAUUAAAGUUCAAUAGUCAUUUUAAAAAAGCAAAAUAUUGUAGUUGCGUUCUAUUUUUCUUUUAUUUAUUGUUCCUAAGAUAUAUUAUUGUAGUCGUGUAUUUGAUUUCCAAUGUUUGACUUCUCAUAUUUUAUUUGGAUGAAUUUAUUUUUCUAAACCCGAAUCAUCUUUUAUAAUAUUUAUUUAAAUUUGAGGAUAAAAUAAAAUAUGAUUACUAUGAACUUUAAUAAAAUUUCAAAUUUGGAAAAUACAUUUUUUUUCAUUUAGAAAUUUAAAAGAAAAUCCAUAAAACAAAUUAACCUAAAUGCCAAUUUUAAUUUAAGAACUGAGAAUUAGUUGUUUAUCAGCAUCGAUUAUAAAUAUCUGAUUGGAUAUGGACUAUGAACAUAUAAUGACAUAAUUAUAGAUUAAUAAAUUAAUUACUAAUUAUUAUUAUUGGAGGAGGAAAAAAAAUGUUGAUUGUUAAGCUAUGUCAACCACAGAUUUAUAAAAUGGAAAAGAUAUAUGAAAACCUCAUUUAAACAAGAUCUUAGUACCAAAGAUCUUACGUUAAAUACAAGAUCUAAUCUAUUUAAGUUAUUAAUUGACCUUUGACAAAUGUGGCAUCAAUUUUAAUCAUAAGAUAAUUAUCUUUUUUAAUUUAAAAAUCGAUUAUCUAAGUCAAUAUUUAAACCAGUAAUUAAUUAGUGUAACAAAUAAAUAAAAUUUUUAAAAUUAAACAUAUAACAAUAAUUACAUAUUCCUAAACCAAAAUGUCAACUCUCAAACUUUUUGCAGUUCUAUAAAUUUUUUUAAAUAAUUAGAUAAUUAAAAAUAUUUUAAUUUGUAAUUUAUUCGAGUAGAAAUUUUGUUGAGUGUUAUGGAUUUGUUUUAUUCCAAAGGGCAUCUUCAAACUAUUUGAAUAAACAAACAAUAAAGAUUAGUUGUUCUUUUUAGUCAAGUCCUUUAUAAUUAAAUUACAAAGACUUUUAUUUUUCUUUUUUCUAAAAUCUUAUUGUAUAUUGAUUAAUAAUAAUUAUAUAAAUGUUGGUUGUUAUAAUAUUUGGUUAUUUUUCCAAAAAGUAAUAACUACGUUAAGAUGUAAAGUAUAUAUUAUAAAAAUAUAAAUUAACAAAUAAUACCGUACGCGUUGGUAUUAGUGGAUGAAUUAGAUUUUAAAUAAUGAAUCCAUUAGUUAAAGAAUAGGGAAAAUGUAAGUCUACCCUUUAUAGUAAAUCCAUUAAUAAUGAAUACAUAAAUUUUUAAUCUUGACGUCAUAAUAUAUAACAAAUUAGGAAAUGAUUAUUUUAAAAAAUAUAUAGUAAGCAAUUUAUUUUGCUUUCCUUUAUCUUCUUUUUUGAAGAUAAAAUUAGUCACUAAAAAGAGGAAAAGAAAGAGAUGUGAUAAGUGAUCCCAUAACGAAAUCGUGGCAAUGAAAUGUUACAGGAAGGUGACGCGUGGCACUUGCCUUGCUGUACAUGGGGUCCACGCUGACAAAUUUAUGGGCAUUUAUAUCUUUAUAAACUUUUUUUUUUUCAUAAUAAUAAAAUUAUAUAUCCAACGAAACAAAAAUAUUUAAUAAUAUGACAAUUCAUUAUAUAUAGUUUUCUCGUCCUUAUUCUAUACACAUUGUAUUCUAUUCUUAUUUUAAAAAAUUUAUCGUAUCUAACUUCGGUUCAUAAUUUUUUUAAAAAAAAGACAAAUUUUUCUAUACAUUUUGAAAUGACGUUAAAAUUUAUGAAUUAAAAUAGAACUAAAAUGAGAUUUAAAUCUUUAUAUGUCUAUUAAAAUAUCAUGUAAAGAAUAAGUAAAUGAGCGUUGCAUGCAUUCAAUCAACUUUGUUAAUGAUACCAAAGCUUGAAUUCUUAAAACGAUUUCUUAUAAUUAUUUGUUCCAUAUUCUCAAAUAAAAUUAAGAUGAAUCCAAAUAAUAUCCUUUUCAGUGUGACGGUGGUUUAUUAAAAAAAGAAAGAUAGAAAUUUAGAGUCGUAAAGAAAUAAAAUUAAGAUUCUUCCUUUUGUUAAUACAAAAUAAAUUAAACAAUCUUUUGGUCAUAAUGAUUCGGUUUUUGUUUAUAAUAAUUGUAUCAAACAUGAUUUUUAAAAAAUAUAUCUAUCCUAUUACACCUUUGUAAUUUUUGUUUUUCAAAAUUAAACUUUUUAGUUUUUACCUUCCACCUAUAAUUCAAGAAAAAAGUGCAAUUUUGAAAAAUACAAAAUGUAAUUUUAAGAUUUUCUUUUAAAAUUCAACUACGAAUUAAAUCGCUAUAAUUAAAAAAAAUGAAGUCAUUAUUAAAAACGAGGAGAAAAUAGAUUUGAUUUAAAAAAAACGACAAAAAAACAAAAUGUUACCGAACGAAUCUAAAUAAUAUAAAUAUUGUUUGAUAGACAAGAUAUUAAUUAAUUAUAAAAAAAACAAUUCUAGAGAUUAAAUAAAUUUUUUCAAUAUAGAAAAAUAGUGAAACUAUUUAACCUUCAUAUAACAAACCAUUAAAAGAUGAAAAUUAUUACACCUGAUUUUUUAUGAAAUGUAAAUAUUUUGUUAAAUGUUUGAUAAUUUUCUCAUUUUUUUAGGAGUAGAUGCAAAUUUAGCAUUCAAAAUAAUUAAGUAUAUACCAACAUUUAAAAAAAAAAUUAAAUAUAACAAAAUUUGUCAAAUUCUAUAAGAUCGUACGAGUCUAUAUAGUUUGGUUAUAUUUGUAAUUUUUUUAAAUAUUGUUAUAUAUUUAAUUAUUAUUUGUGUAAUGACUCUCAAUUAUAAUUACUUAUUUUUUUAAAAAAAUUAUGUAUUUUAGGAACUAUUCUAAAAUUGAAAGAAAGAAAAGAAAAAAGAAUGACAAUUUAGGAAAGGAAAGAAAUAGUUAAAAAAAUAAAAAAGGAAAAUGGAUAAUAUUUAUUUUGAGUACAAAAUGGAUUGUAUUUAAAGUUUGGAAUUUUCUUAUCAUUCUUUCUCCUCUAUCUUUUUGGGAGAAUAUAAAAGACAAUAGAUUUAUGGGUGUUGCUUCAAAUUUGAGCAAAAUGACAAUGAUAUAUAUGCAUUUAUGGAAUUAUGUAUUUUUAUUUAUUUCUUGUUUUGUACCCUUUUUUCUUUUCCUCAAAUAUUAUUCAAAUUCUAUUAAAUUUUGGAAGUUUCUAACAUAGGUACCAAAAAUUGACUCAAUCCUAUCACUAAUUUUUUCAUCAAUUUCUCCCUUUUGUUCUUUUCCUUAUAACCAUUUUCCAUUUCGGUAAAUAUCAUAUCCAUUCUUAAAUUUAAAAAAAUUCCAAAUCUAAACAUUUGAAACACUAUAUUAUUGUUUAAAUUGUAAAAAUGUGAAUAAACUAAUUAAAACUUUCAAACAUCAUAUACAUAUAAAGUACACAUUACAUUACUUACCUUUACCUUACUUUUAAGUUACUCUAUGAUACCAAUUAAGAAAAAUUUGUGUUCAUUUAAACUUUAGAUAUUUUUUUAUAUCAUCAACCCAAUAUAGCAAAGUUUAUACUAAUUAAACAUGUAAAACAACAUACACUCAAUAUCGAACGUUGUCUACGUAACACCCAUGAUGCAUUUAAAAAUCUAUUUACAAGAAUUUUGCCCAAAUACAAAACUAAAAUCUUAUAUUUAAGCUUAACCCAUUUGAUUAGAAUAUAUACAUGUAGAAAUGGUUUUUUUCACUCUCAUUAUCAUGAGAAAACAAUAGUGUGGAUUAUUUAUUUAUGUAUUGUUUUUGUUGUUUAUUUAUUUAGGGGUUAAUAAUUGUAAAAGUGGGGUUGAAAUGACAAAGGGAUAAAGCAAAGUCUAUAAUUAAAGAAAGAGAAAGGCCUAAAGGAAAAUUAUGUUUCCUUACCAAAGUAGGGAGCAAAAUCUUAUGGAUAGUGAUGGAGCUUUCUCAAGAUUCUAUGCAAUUUGUCUUUUUUUCAAAAUAUUAUUAAUAAAAUUUUAAGAUUACAUAAUGAAUAAUUCAAUUCCAUUUUUAUAUAUUAAGAAGGAAAAACAAAACCCUUAAUUUAACUUCCAUUUAUUACUUCAAAUUUAGUAUUUUCUUUUUUCUUUUUUGUAUAGAUAACAUUUGAAAUAAUUAAAGUAGUGUAUUCUCAUAAUGGAUAUUGGAUAUAUGUUUUGCUUGGAAAGCAACCUCUUUUUUCUUUGGAUUUUUAUGGUGAUUAUACAUAGUUUUCUCAAAAUAAUUCUAUGUGCUUUUUUGAAAUAGAAUUAGAUGAUGUGAAAACGCAUUAAUUAGUUUAUUGGUCACUAAUUUGUUUUUAAUUACUUUUUCUCACUAUGUGUAUGCGUGUGGAAAUUUUUAACUUCUAGAAAAUGAAUAAAUCAAAGUUAAUAUUGUUUCUUUCAAAACCAUGCAAAGUUUGUAAUAGUGAUGUGCACUAAUGUAUUAUUGGUACAAAAAUCAUCUCUAUAUAUUACUUCUUUAAAAAGAAAAAGAACUCUAUGCUUUGCACAAACCAAUAUAAUGAAACUUGAUCCAAAUUAAUGAGCUAGAGAACUACUAAUUAAUAACAAUUUUGAAAAUGAAGUGAACAAUAGAUAUGUGUGUGUGUGUAUAAUAAUAUUCAUUUUUAGGAUAGAACUUCUAAAUUUGCUCAAAAGAAACCCAUAUUGAAUAUAACAUAUUUGUUCUUAGCUUAACUUUGCAAUCAAGUUUGGAAAAAAUGGGAUGAUAAAAGAGAGGAUAGAGUAAGAAUAUAUAAGAGCAUUAAUGUAAUGGGGAUGGUGAUGGUGAUGGUGAUGUGUGGUAAAUUUUGCUUUGGAUUUCAGUUUGGUCACCUCCCCCACUCAACUUAGGUUUUUGAGAAUAAUUUGCAUGAAACCAUAUAAUAAGUCAAAAAGAGAGCUCCAAAAAGGAAUUAACUUAAAGAAUAAGCAAAACUCAACAUAUGUUUGGCUUUUCUAUAACUUAAUGAAUCAAAAUCACUUUCCACUAACCCUUUUCCCUUUGUUUUUGGGUGACCAAGUCGAGGAGUUUGAACUAAUUCAUGCAAUGUGUGUAGACACAUAUUUAUUUUCUAAUGCUUGAAAGUGUACUCAUAAAGAUUUGUUUUCCGUCAUUAUGUUGAUGAUCACUAUAUAUAUAUAUAAGUAAUUUAAGAUGAUUUCUAGAUUGAAUUACAUGACUUUGUUCCGUUCUGUACAUUCACGUAAUGAUUGUGGAAGGAAGAGUUUGCUUGAAAAUGAGAUCAAAGUUUUGCAUUGGACUACUAGAUAAAAGGUUGAAUAUAGAAAAGAUAGUUGUCUAUCUCUAAAAGCAAUGAAAUCAAGUGAACAAUAUUAUACUAUUGUGGGGAUAUUUGGAUGUUCGGUCGCUCCUCGCACACACAUACUCUAUAUUUUAUAUUAGUAUCAUUUGAGAGAUAAAAGUUUGAUUUAUUAAGUGUAAAUGUGUAAAGUCUUUUGACAAUUAAGAGAAAACACAUAAUUAUUACAUAUAGAUUUUAAGAUCUUAUAUUCAAUGAUGCACGGGAUGACAACGGGACACGAUGUCCUUAAAUUUAGGGGUCUAAGUCCAAGUUUUCUUGUUGUCACACACCAUUUGAUGUUCAAACGAGAAAUUCAACGAGAAAAGAAAACAAUAAUAAUGCACCAAAAUAGUUGAGUUGUGAGACUUCAUGUGUGAAAAAGAUGACAUAUGAAAGUUUAUAGGUUUGUUUAUAAUUACCAAAUGGCACUAUUACAUAUAUAUGCAUACAGGCCUCCAUCCAUUUGAACCCAAUUUUCUCUAUUCAACCUUCAAAACUUGUAAAGAACCCAAUCUUUUUCUCUCUAAAAGAAGGGGACUUAUCAUUAUUAUUCCCAUAUAUAUGUAAUGUAAACAAGGGUAGCUAGUGGAGCACUUUGAUUAAUCUGUCCUUUCUUUGACUUUCUUUUCCUCCAAUAUUAGACCAUAUAUAGCUAGGGUUUAAUGUUUCCCCUCCAUGGGUAAAACUUUUAAUUAAAGGAAGACCUUAUAAAGGGUAAGAAUUGAAACCCUAUAUGUGUCCAUUAAAGUUGGAGCAGUCAUAGGUUUAUAAAAAAAUGGUGGUAAUAUAUAUAUUAUAUAUCUCUACUAUAGCAAUAACGAAUCCAAGCUUAAAAGUUAGUUCACGCCAAUUUAAGUUAAAUGUGAAUUAUAUCAUAUAUAUAUAUAACUUAAAAAUGUAUGCUCAUAAACUAUGAAGUUCAUGGAAGCAAUAUGUAAGUAUACACACAAACUUUCCGUCCAUGACUUUAGUGACAAACAUCUAAAAAUGUUCAAAGUUUGAAAAUAAAAACGAAACAUUUUAAGCGUUUAAACGUAGAUUUAAUAAUAUGAUUUGAAAAGAGAAUUAGAUAAUAAAUGGAUAGGGUGAAAGAAUGAUGAUGAAAAGUUGAAAAGAAGGAGGAUAUGAUGAAUCAAAAUAUAUGAUAAUAUAAUAUAAAAAAGGUUCCCUCUUGAGAGCCAAAGAUGAUGAUAAAUUUGAAACAAAUUGAUUACAAUAAUAUAAGCAAUAAUAACCCAAAGAAAAGAAAAAUGGGAAAAGAAGAAUCUAAAUUGAUAAAUGGAAAAAUGGGUCCAUAUGAAAUAGGAACCUAUAAUAGAAUGGCUAAAGAAUCAUUCAUUCUGUCUUUCUUUUUUUUUUCUUUCUAUAUAUGAACACUUGUCUCAUUCCCAUUGGUCAUUGUGGUGCAACUAUGAAAAUCCAACUUUUUUUGAAAAUUUAUGUGUGAAUGUUAGAACAUGAAAGGAAUCCAAUUCUAAAUCCAAUCAUUCCUCACAAAGAAAAUCCAAACAUUCCAUGAUUUUUUUAAAUAAAGUAUGAGUUCUCAUGGAUUUGUUAGGAAGUGUUGAAAGAGAUUGGUGAUGAUCAAUUCAUCCACAUGUUGAUGGAUUUUGAAAUUUUAAGUCCAUUAUUUAAACAUUAUAUGAUCAAAAUAGGAGAUUUUUAUGUGCUAAUAAUGGAGAUUGUUUCAUGUUCAAAAUCAUGUCAAAAAUCACUUCAAAUUUCUAAAGUAAAGUUAUAUUGUGGAUGUGACCGAAUAUGACGGUUUAGAAUGAUAUUUCAUUUUCCCAUCUUUCAAAUCAAAUAAUUUUACGAAAAAAAUUAUGUUUAGAAACAAGAAACAACAAUGUUUAGAAAAUAAAAAAAUAAAAUAUUUAUUUUGUAGUUUCAAGCACUUAACUUUUUAACAUUGCAUCUAUUCAUCCACAAACUUUUAAAACUUUUAACAAUAAAAUUCUUUUAAUUGAUUAGACAUAAAAUUCAAUUUUACAUACCAUAUACAUCAACUAAUCUUCAAACUUCAAGGAGGUCUUUAAACAAAAUUUAAAACUUGUUAGAUACUUUUUGUAAUUUAACUCGAAUCUUAGCAAUUUUGGUUGAAGAGAUCAAGUAGGGAAUAACUUGGUGUGGUGUUUCCUCUUGAAGUUGGUGUGUCCUAAAAAAGAUAUACAACUCUAUAUCAAAAUGAAAGUGAUCAGAGACUUAAUUAACAUACUAUAUAGCAAACUUUAUUAAGUAUUGUUAUUGAAGAAGAAAAGAGGUUGUUGGUACUCAAUCAAUGAUGUGCCGUAAAAAGGGAAUGAGAGAAUAUUAUGGUUUUUGUGGGAUUUGUCAAAUCCAUCCAUCCCUUUAGAAUAUAGAAAACAAAUUCCAUAAACUGUCAUUUAGUAUACAAAAGGAAUAUUAUUAGCAUUGACUCUCAAUAUCCAAAAUUAUUGGGUGUUGAAACAAACAAACAUUGGUCUCACAAACCCACAAAUCCCUUCAAAAAGAAAAAAGAAAAUUACACCUUUUUCCAAUGCUUUGUUUUCUGUUUUGAAAAUAGAUUGAUGGGUUUGUUCUUCCUUUUAUCCAAUUUCUUAUGCCACUGUUUGGACUUUGGAGAAGGUUUGGUUGUUGCCUUUCUCAUUGCUCCACUGACCAAUCCCUUAUUGCUUUUCUCACUGCUUUCAGUUUCACAUUUCAAAGUUUUCAACCUUUUUUUAUUUUUCCUUUCGUUUCAAGUCAUGAUUUUUAAAUGGGUUUAUGUAUAUGUAUCUAAGUUUUCAUCAUAUUGACUCACUAUUGUGUGCUCUUCUAAUUCCAUUCACACAGAUACUUGGGUUGUUUUCUUCCCAUUUGUCUAUUUCUUUAAAUGUUUUGAUACCAACUUCUCUAUAGACUACUCCUAUUCAAGAAUUUCUAAGAAGGUAGGUCGUUUUUUAAGUUUUCUUUUCUUUAACCAACAUUCAUUGAAUGUACGUGGAUAUAUUGAAUUCUUUGGUAUCUUUUCAUUUCAAAUUUUAGCUUUGUUUGAGUGGCAUAUUCCAUAGUCAACAAUAAUUGAUAUCUACUCCUUUUUAAAAGAUUGAAAGUUCAAAUCUCCGGCUAUCUUUAUUUUUUAUACUAAAAGAAGAAAGAGAAAAAGGUGGCAUGAGUCAAAUAUUUGAGCUUGUGAAUGCUCUCUUUUAUAAACUAUUUGAUUGAAGAUAUUUUUAUGGAAAGUUGAUGGGCUAAAUGUCACUUUGCACAUAGACUGAGGCUAAGGAGCCCACCACAUGUUCCUAAAAUUAGAGCCAAGUAUUGGGAUAGGUUUGUUUGGAUGAAUGAUCUUAAUCAAAGUAUAAAAUCAAAAUGAAUAUUAGAAAAUAAUAAUGUUGAAACCUUAUUAAGCAUCGAACAAUGACUUGAAUUAGUCAAUCAUCCCGCAAGGAAACUUGGCAUGAUAUGAUCUCCGUAAAACAAGGUUCAAAGUUUAAUUAGAGUUGAGUCAUACUCAUAUUGGCUAGACUUAUAUUACAUGUAACAGGAAAAUAUAACACAACGAAAAGUUGAAAAUAUGCCCAAUCUUAGAUUACAUGGAAAUAAGAGAAAAACUUUAAUCACUUCCGUUCUUGUUAACGGAACAAAAAACAAGUACAUAAGUUUCUCAAAUGAGAGUAUCCAAGCUUCAUGGAAGAAAAGAAUGUCUCGUCUUCGAAAGCGAGUAUUGGGGUUAGAAGAUAAUGUAUUCUUCAUCUCCGUCGUACAAAGAAUCUUAUCAAGACAUGUAUUCAAUUAGAAGACACAAAAUGCAACUAACAGCAAAAUAUGCCAACAUGAUAAGAGCCAUUAUUUUGAUGUUUGAAAGCUGACAAGCAAACGAUGGAUUAUUUCAUAUAAGAAGACUGAUAAAUCCUAGAUUUCCUCCAGAAUAUAAAUCGCUCUAUCUUUUAUAGGCAGCUGUAAAGUAGGGAACAUAGCUGGAAGAAGGUCAAUGGACAAGUUUUAGGUAAGCACAACCAGGAUCACAGUGAAAGAUACCAGAAGAUCAUGCAAUAGGGCAACUGGCUACAGUUAAACACUCACAAUGAAAGAUACAAGAAGAUUAUGGUAAUGUGACGGGCCACGGUAUAACAGUAUGAGAAGCAUCUCGAGUUGAGCUGUAGUCCAAUUCCAGGCGUUGCAAGCCAUAUGCUAGAGAGCUAGAGCUCCUCUAGCAGAAAUCAAUUCUGAUAUUCAGAUUAGCUCUGAAAAUACCAUACAUGAAGGUUUGUUGCCAAGGGUUGGUUGCCUUGAGAAGAAACAGUAGUCCCAUUAAGCUUAUGGUGGGUGGGGACAUUGGUCAAGAGCACAUUUUCUUCUGUAAAAUACAAAUAUGAUACAGAUAUUAGCAAUGUAAUCGGAAAGGAAACAUAAAAGUAGAUGCAUAUACCAUGUGACAAAUGCAAUUGAAAUGAAAUUUUGUUGAACAUAAAUUUGGAAAUCAGUAGUGUGUUAGGUACCCAAACCCAAAAAUUAUGUGAAAACACCAAUAACGAUAUUGCAAUGUCUGAUGAAAUUAGAAUAUAAACAAGUGAUUCGAGGUACUUGCAUUUUCUCUCUUGACAUCUCUCUCAAGUCCUAAUUUACUCAAUAAUGCCUAACUUCAUCCCUUCCCACUCUCUUAAACCUAUCCUUGAACCAAUAUCAUUCCAUUUUAUCAUGAAAGAAAAUAAGUGGUGACUGCUGGGAUUGUAAGAGUUACACUCUAUUUUGAGAAAUUAUUUGCAAUCAAUUAGAUAGAGAAUGAGGAAAGAAGCGCUUAUAUGUUAACAAAUGGAUCAUUCAGAAUCAAUACCAUCAAGAAACUUUACUUGUAAUGAAAGAUACAGUCUAGUCACUGCCCCAUCACGAGACAUUUUUUUAUAAAAUGUGAUCUACAGUGAACCUGAAUAAGCACAAAAACUUGGAGUUGUAAAAAGUCUUACCGAACAAGAAUUUUUUUUUUUCAUAAAACAAGCAAGAAAUAACAAAAGAAACAAGAUGGAAUUUUUCGGUUUAAACUUGUAGUGCGACAACUAACAAAUUAAUGAAAUCUACCUGAAGAAUUGAGAAGAAUGCCUUGCACUAAUGAAGACAUAGGUCCCUUGAAAAGCCAUGCCCCCAUAUGGAUCUACAUUCUUCCACACUACUGAAACGUUUUAGUAAUGGGUCCUUGUCAAGCCAGGUUUCACUGCAUCAAGCCAAUAGGACAAAGUUAUGUAAAAGGGACAAGUUUUGGUACAUGAGAACAACAUUAGAUCAGCUGGAAGAAAAAAAACACUAGAAAGUGUUAAUAGUUAACAAAUGAUUUUUGUAUUUGUUAGAGAUUAAGUUAAUUUCUAGUGUUUUAAAAAGCCCUCUUGGUAUGCCUAGGCUCAAGGCCCAGGUCUGCCGUCUCGCCUUGAAAAGGCUUGUGCCUUGAAAUUUUUAAUUAUUUUUAGAAAAUAGCAGUAUUUAGGGGCUUUCCUUGUCUAUUAACUAAAAAAUAAAAUUUACUAAGCUUAAAUGCAAAAGUUCUUCUGUUUAAGAGUUUUUUCUUUCAUAUUUGCUUCUCUUCUUAUUAUUGUACUUUUAUAUAUAGUGCGCCUCACAAAAGAAAAAACACAUGUUCUUUUUUGGCCUUGCACUUAAGCCCUAGAAGACUAUAGGGCUUCAUUGUGCCUUAAGCUUUAAAAAAACACUGGACUUUGUUUUGUUUUAAGCUUUUUGUUUACAAUUUCUCUAUAAAUUACUCUACAAAACAUUCUUUAUCAAUGAAAAAAAUCUCUUCCAUGGUAUCAAAGCAAGUGGUCCAAAAAAGUUGUGUGUUCAAGCUCUACAAUGUUAUUUCCUCUCCAAUUAAUGUUCAUUUCCACUUGUUGGGUCUUCUUCAUAUUUCAAAUCUAGAAACGAAGGGGUGUUGGAUAUUAUAUUAAAUUUGUCUUCACUCAUCAGUUUAAGUUUUUGGGUCAACUGAUGAUUUAAGAUGGUGUCAGAGAUGUUCAUAUAGGAUAGAAAAAUGAUUGACAUGACACUGCUAUUUUUAUUACAUAUAUCAUAUGUGUGGAUUGAACCUACAACCUCUUGAAAGAGCAAUGCCUUACUUGCGGAGCUAUGCUCAUGGUGCCAAGAUAAUAACACUAUUAUAAUAAACUGUUAUGCAGAAUCAUAAAUAAGCACCAAUUUACCUCGCCGUCGUUAGUGGCAAUCAACUUAUUUUCCAAUCUUUGAGCAUCCUCGGUCAUGCCUUGUGCUUUUAAGGCUCGAAUCAUUGUAGCAAAUGUAAUACCAUCAGGCACACAUUUAUUCUCUUUCAUUUCCAAGAACAACUCUCCCAUUUUUCUCACAUUACCAGCCUGGCCAUACACAUUGAUAAGGCAGUUAAAAAGAGGGGUAUCUGGUACCACAUCAGAAUUUUCUAUUUGCCUCAAAAUCGAAUCAACUUUCUCAAGAUCACCAGAUUUACCAUAUGCAUUUACGAGGGAACAGUAAGUCACAGAGUUAGGCUUCAUUCCCUGAAAUUUCAUAUUUUUGAAGUAUUCUUCCAUCUCCUCAAUAUUUCCAGCUCUUCCAAAAGAAUCAAUAAUUGUAUUCAUAGUAACAAUUGUUGGAGAGAAAAAGCGUUUUUCCAUGAAAUUCAAAACAGAUUUCAUCUUGUCAUACAUUCCAGCUUUCCCAUAUGAGCUGAUCAUAGAAUUGUAUGUCCAAAUGUCUGGCUCGAUUCCCAUCAGCUGAAAUUCCUUAUACCACUUCUCCAUCUUCUCAAUCUGCUCACUAUUUCCGUAAGCUCUGAUAAAAGUAUUGAAUGUAAUCAAAUCUGGAGGGCAGCUAUCACUUUCAAUCAUUUCAAGUAACAAGCUUUCCAUUUGCUCAAACAUUUUAGCCUUUCCAAAUCCAUUAAUAAUAGUAUUGUAAGUGACCGUAUUACAUGUGAUCCCCAGACAGGACAUAUCAGCCAGUAUCUUCUUCAGAAGAUCAAAACGACGGAGUCUUGUGCAACAAUCAAUGAGAAUUGAAUAUGUAUGUACAUCUGGCUUGCAGUCAGAAAUCGAUUUCAUUUCAUCGACUGUUGAAAUGGCCUUGUGAAGGAGGCCACUUUGACCAUAAGCACUAACAAGAGCAGUAUAAACAUCAAUAGAAGGUUUCAACCCCUCAGAAAACAUAAUCUCAAAGAGCAAACUUGCUUGCUCGGGUUGCUUGCACUUACCAAGAAGCAUCAACAAUUUUGUGUAUGUUUGGCAUCUCGGUUCAUACCAUUGUUGCUGGCGAAGUAAUCCAAAAAUCUGAAGAAAUACAAAAUUAUUUGGUCAUAACUCUCGUUUUAAAAAUACAAGAGCAAAAUCAGUUCAUCAGUCAUAAGUUUCUUCAUUUACAAUAUAUGGAAAUGUUGUAUCAAAUUUUUUUUUUUUUUCUUUUUUUCAAUAUACUUCAGAAAACGAUGGAAAUGAAUUUCUGAAACCUAUUUGAACACUAACAAGACAGGGUGCAGGGGGUGCAGGGGUUUUGAACAAAAGAAAUAAAAGCAAACAUCGCACCGAAGCAGUCUAUGAGUGAGAAAAACGAAAGGACGUACAAGAGUAUACCAAACAAAGCCAACAAAAAAAUAAGUCCAAACACUAUCUAAAGAAACAGAGUUAUAUCUAAGAGAAUCAAAAUCAAGCUCAUAGUUACGGAAAUGAAUCAAAGGAUGCAUUAAACCUACUACCUAACAAACUCUCAAAUUUCCUCACAAGAUCCCAAAACAAUCGUAGAGGAAUUUUCUUGGGGACAACACCCUACCAUGAUAAAUCAUCCCACAUAUAAAAAAGGUCGAUAGCGUUAAUUUGUUCAUGAAAGAAAUGUCGGGUAGAAGAAGCUUUGGCAGUCAUGUUGAAAUUGCUAAAACUAGAGCUCUGCAGAACUUCCAGUGCAAAAGGAUUCUGAAAGUAUACCAAACGCACUCAGAAUUUUCAGCUUACCCGUGCGUGCGUGCAUGUUCAGGGUGAUUUUAAAAUAAUUGAAACCAUUUGAAAUACCCCUUGUCAUUCAAAAUCAAUUCAAUAUUUAAUAGUACAGUUUUAAAUGCAUUUUUUAUACUGUUAAAAUUUAUUUUGAAUGAUGAUCUUGAAGAUGAAAAAAGAAAGUGAUUUCAACCGUUUUAAAAACGGCAUCGUAGAAAUGAUUCAUUGAAGCUAUAGCUAACAAGGUUUACUGGGCAUUCACGUAGGCAUUAUCAAAGUAUUGAUAAAAGAUUAAACUUACACUAACGCAUUAAACUUAAACUUCUAGAUUGAUUAAUAAUACAACGUGGUAUCAAAACAAGAGGUCAAUAUCCUUUGUUUAAACCUCUAUAAAUAUCUCUCCUUAUUUUGAGCAAAUUCACUAACAAAAACCAACCUUAAGAGCAGUUUCCCAUAGAUUCUCCUGAAUAGCUUCAUCGAGAGCCUCCAAAACAGCUUUGGGCCAAAGAUUAUUAUAUUUCUUGGAGUUGGCUUUCCUCUCUAUAGCUUUAAUAGCAGCAUCUCUCCUCAGAAUCCGAGACAGACCCUUCUUCGGAUCUCUCUGUAGUGCGUCGGAGGACUGGGUGGAAGUCCGCUUAAGUGACCGCGAAUGAGAAGAAGAGAUGAAAUAAGGAGUGGAGCUCACGGAAGCCAUUGAAAUAACUUUGGAGGUAAAGGAAGUUGAGAAGCAACGGAAAACUGUAGCGUCGGGAGAGUGAAGGCAAAGCUCCAUUGAAAUAUCCCAAGAGAACCGGUGAACUACCGAUCAACCCAAUCCAAUUUUUAUUACUUUCCUUUUCUACGUCAGAAAUUUUGAUGGGCUUUUAAAUGGAAAAGUGUUUAUAGGAGGCCCACGUAAGGUGGCCCAAAACGGAAUAAAAAUGAUAAUGAGGGUUAUAAAAAAAAAGCACGCCUGAUGGGACUCGAACCCACAAUCGUCUGAUUAGAAGUCAGACGCCUUAUCCAUUAGGCCACAGGCGCUGUUGACGUUAACGGUAACGGUAACUUCAUUUUACAAUUGACCAUUUUAUAUAUUAAUUUAUUUUUAUAAAUAGAAAAAUUAAUCCUUCUUUUUUAAUUAUUAUUUGUCUAAAUUAAGAGAAUGACUUAAUACGAAUUAUAUAUUUUAUUCUUGAAAUAUAAUCAAUAACACUUCGUGUAAUUGAAAUUUGAAUUGUUUGAUUUUGAAAUUACUAAAUAAUGUUUAUAAAAUACUUGAUUUUGGUCUCUUUAAUUAACUAAAAACGAUUUAAAAACAUUUAUCUCACUGUCUUCUAUAACCCUUUCCCUCACUCUUCUUCAUCUUUCAUCACCAUCUAAUCUAAUCUAAUCACCACCACCUAUUGUCCUAAUAUUAUCCCUUACAAAAUAGUUUUUUUUAUAUAUAUAUAAAUAAUAACAAUUACUAUUAUUAUUUAAUUUCUGACCUCAUUCACCAAAAUUGUAAGUAAAAGGAGAGGGCAUAAGUGGAAAUAUAAAACAAGUUUGUGUUUUGAAGGCCCACACCAACCCCCAAAAAUGAGAACCAUCUUUUGUUUCCCGAGCUUGUUGGCGUCACAACGCUCGUAGUUGUAAAUGUAACGCCACUUUUUGCCGCGCUUCCCUCGUGGCCCACUUUGACGGAUAUUCCGCAUUUAUAUUCUUCCAUUCAUGCCCUCUUACCUUUACUUUAUUCCCAUUUCUUCCCCAAAUUGAAUUUCACUUUGGAAUAAAUCUAAUUUAACACUAUAAUAAUCACUUUUUUUUUACUCCAACAAAGAUUAGAAGAAACGUAAAAAAUGGAAAAUUUGAUCGAAUAAAAUUAAAUUUUUAGAUCUACUAAUAGUAGACAUUCAUCCACAGUCAGAGUGGUAUCUUUCUAUUCAGUUUCUAUAUUUGAAUUGUAUUCGGUAUAGUUUAUAAAUAUUUUAGUUUAUUUUACCAUAUUUGAAAAUGUCCUUAAAUACUAUUUAAGUCUUCAAUUAGUUUCCGUAAACAUUAUUUUAAAACUCUCAAUUUGCUACCGUUUUAUUAUUUGUUACUGUCUUUAUCAUUUAACAUUCAUAAUUUUUUUAUUAUUUGUUAUCGUGUUUAUUGUUCUCUUAUCAUACUAAAAUAGACUAACAUAUACUAUUAUAACUCAAAAUAAAACAAUUUACACAAAAAAAAACACAAAUUAUAAUAACUUACUUUUUGUUCUAAAGACCUCUUUAAUUUUUUUUAAAUGACACGUUUGUUUUAUUGUUUAUGGGGUAAAUAGUUGGUUUAAAUUAUUUUAGUUUGUUAAGAAAAACAGUAAAUGUUGUAGUAAAUAAUAAAAAACUGACGAAGAUAAAAUAGUAAAAACGGUAACAAAAAAAAUCUAUUGAGAUACUAGAAUUAAGUUAAACUAUUUGUAGUUAUUUUCGUCUAAUUAAGUCUUAUAAAACUCAACUAAUACAUUAAUUAUCUUGAACAUUUAAAAUCAACGUAUUUAAUAUCUAAGGAAGAAAAUUGGUUGUGACAAAAUUUACUCACCUUUUCAAUUUAUAUACCUAUUUGGUAUUUAACAUGACCUCACAUACAUUUCAAAACCUUUUAAUGUCUCCAAAUAAAUUAAAUAUAUUUAAUGUUUUUUCUUUCAUAACCAACCAAGCAGAAAUAAAUAAUUUAACUAAAAUGCUAGUUUUCAACUCUAUGCCUACCCUAUAAUAUAUAUAAUAAUUAAUCGGCUAGGCAGUAUAGAUUGAUGAACACUUUAUUAUUGUUUUUAUUAUUGAUGUAUGUGAUUUGAUCUUCUUCAACCUUGACUUGUUUUAAAUAAUAAGCAUUUAUUACUCUUAUUCAUUCUCUUAAAUAUAUUAUUGAGUUUAUUUACAUCACAUAUAUGUUAUAGGAACUCAUUCAAAUUCUUAUAUUGGGUUUUAUUAAUAUAUCUAAAUCAUCUCCAUCAUUUCUUUUUUGUCAAAAAUCUAUGAAACUGAUGUUUACACUUGAGGAAAUUUAAUAUAUAUUUACCAAAAAUUUCCUUCAUUUGGUUUGAAUAUUUUGUUGCAAACUUACAUGAUUGAUUUGGUUUACAAGUUCUCAAUGUAAUUGAUUUUAGAUUAUUUCCCCUACCAUGUUUGACAAAAUAAAUCACAAUCACUGUAUCCAAAUUCUAGCUAAAUAUGUCCAUAUAUAUUUACUUCAUUGAGUUGAGAGCUAAAGGAUAUAUAUAUACAUAUGUGUGUCAACUUGGCUAACAUGUUUAUGGAUACUCCUAAUACGCAUUGGACAUCUAUCAAACAUUUGGUGGUACAAUAGAUCAAUAGACAUCGAUAUAUGUUAGAUGUUAAAUAACGUUUGCUUCACAUAAAAAAAAAUGAAUGCAACCCUUGCCUUUGAAAAAAACUACUAAAAAGUGUAUAUAUUUUAUCAUGUGCAUAAAAGAAAGAGGUAUGUGAACUAAAGUGUAGUGUAGGUAUAUUUAAAAAAGUGCAACUUAGACGACACUAAUGCAAGCUAAGUUGUAACUAUUUAAAAAUAUCUAUGAAUAUUUUUUUAGAUUACUACAUUAAUGAUAAUAUUAUUAAAAUUAGUAGCAUCGAUAAAUAUAGCAAAAUGAACAAAAUACUUAUAAACUGUAGCUAUCAAUGAUAGUAUUAGUAUCUAUCAAUGACAUUGAUAAAUAUUAUUAAAAGUAUAUUAGUGUCGGUCAAUGUCAAUUAUUGAUAAAAUCUAAAAUUUUAUUAUGUUUUAUUUUUUAUUUGGUUAAGUUGAUAUAAUAAAAAAAUUUAGAGUUGAAAUUAGUAAACUCCAAAGUUAAUGGUAAAUUGAUAUAUGUGGAAUUAUGUAAUUCAAUAAUUAUUCUUUAAGGAAGGAGUUUAGAGAGAGAGAAAAAGUCAAAGUGAAGAUUGAAAGAGACAAUUAUGUUAGGACUUUAUUCUUACAAAGUCAUGCCUUUUUGUUUGAAAAUAAUUAACCCCGCAAAGCUACUUUUGAAAAGCUAACCUUACUCCUUCCUUCUUAACCAAAAUCACCUAUAUACAUAUUUUCAAAUAACAUUCAUAGUUACAUAUCCUUAAGUACAAAUUGAAGAAAUAUAAACUUAUGCUGACAUUAAAGUGUGCAAUAAUUGAACUAGGUAGAAGUUAAAAACCAUAUUCAAAUUGGUUUUAGAUUUGAAUUAAUAGUGAAUAAAAAAAAAUGGAAGCAAAGCAUUUAAUAUAUAUAUUUGUAAUAGCAAUAAUGUAUUUAUUUGUUUGCCUUAGGUUCUCAAAAUAAUAAAUAAUAAAUAAUAAAUAAAGGUACACGCGCCCUGAAGGGAAAUUCCAACGAAGCUGAACGCGAAGCCAGCUGUUCCUAUAAAUACCAUUCCCUCAACGCUCUUUUUCCAUUCUCUUAACCAUUCAUUUUCUCUCUCUACCUCUACCUCUACCCUCUCUUCUCCAUUUUUAUGGCCUUCCUUUGGGACGUCUUCUGAUUCUUCCUCAAUCGCUAACCCUCCAUCUCUCUCUCACAAAGACAUCCCCUUUCUCCCUUCGUAUUCCUAUUCCGAUCGUUGCACGGAUUGUUUCUCCAUUAUUAUUAUUGUUAUUCCCUUUCCCUUGGCGUUUCUCCAUGGGGAAGUUGGUCGAGAUUCUUGAUGCAGGUGCUAGGAUUGUCGCCAGAUUUCAUUCCCAUUGCCCUCAGACUGGCCGGAUGUACUACCAUCCUCCCGCUAACUCCGACGACGGCCAUCACUCUGAAGAGUUUCGCCUCGGCGGCGGCGUCGGCGAUGGCGAUGCGGCGUCUCAUCAGAUUGUUCCUUGCGUUGCCGAGCCCACGGCUGCUGCUGCUGCUGCUGUCUUAGUCGUCACCGUUGAGAGUAAUGAGUUCAUUCUUUACUCUGUUUGAUUGUGAUUGUUUGAAUGGAGAAGUUGUGGAAUGUUUGUGUGAGAAUUUUCUCUCCCAUCGUGAUAUGAAAAAAUUUGGAAAAAAUAGUUAUAGAUUUGUCUCUUUUUAUAUGCUUAUUGUUGAUGACAUUAUUUUGUUCGAGACGAGCAUCGAUCGUAUUCUGAUUCUUUGGAUGAUUGAUGAUUGACGGAAUUUGAAAUUGGUGCUUUUACAAAUGUACUAACCCAGUGUUCUUGCUAUUGACUUAUGAAUUGAUUGAAAAAUUUCUGUCCCAAGAACUUAGGCGAGAAUUUGUGGGGGAAAAUGUUCUUUUCUUUUGGUAAUAGCUUGUAAAAGAAAAGAAUCUGAAGCUAAUCAAACUUUCCAUUUCUUUCCCUUUCUUAUUUGUUUGGUUGUUAUUAAUUUUUGACAUAGAAAUACAGUAAAACACGACUUUGCAUUCAAAGCUCCAAAUUACAUUCAUGAAUGGCACUUUGAACAAAGGAAAGAAAAGUUAACUUUUUGCAUUUUAAUUCCUUUGGAAUAUGGUUACCAUCUAUGUUCAGUUUUGUUUCCAUUUAACAUUAUUUUAUCUACAAAAUAAAAUUAUAUAAUCCAAAUAUUUGAUUUUGAUUAGUCAAAAUAGAACCUUUGACAAAAUAAAAUUUUAUAAAUGAUUAGUAUAUUUCUUUUGUUUUCAUAAUAAUUUUUGAGAAAAUAUAAUUUUAGGUUCAGUGUUAAUUUCUAUUAUUUAA